UGAGCUCAUCUGGAUUCCCACCAUGGCCUGGGCCCCUCUGCUCCUCACGCUGAUCACUUACUGCUCAGGUUCCAGCUCACAGCCUGUGCUGACUCAGCCACCCUCAGUGUCAGUGUCCCCAGGAAACACUGUGAAACUCUCCUGCACCAUGAGCAGUGGGACCAGCAUCAGUGGCUAUAAUGUGUACUGGUACCAGCAGCAACCUGGGAAUUCUCCACGAUACCUGCUGAGAUACAAGUCAGAUUCUGACAAGUACCAGGGCUCUGGGGUCCCUGCUCACUUCUCUGGUUCCAAAGACACGUCCAGUAAGGCCGGCUAUUUGACCAUCUCCGGGACCCUCGCAGAAGAUGAGGCUGAUUAUUACUGUGCUGUGUGGCACAAUGAUGCUUGUCACUGCGACACAUACAGAUGGGGAAGUGAGACAAAAACCUCCCUCCCCUAG